CCUACGGGAGGCAGCAGUGGGGAAUAUUGGACAAUGGGCGAAAGCCUGAUCCAGCAAUGCCGCGUGAGUGAUGAAGGCCUUAGGGUUGUAAAGCUCUUUUACCAGGGAUGAUAAUGACAGUACCUGGAGAAUAAGCUCCGGCUAACUCCGUGCCAGCAGCCGCGGUAAUACGGAGGGAGCUAGCGUUGUUCGGAAUUACUGGGCGUAAAGCGUGCGUAGGCGGUGAUUCAAGUCAGAGGUGAAAGCCUGGAGCUCAACUCCAGAACGGCCUUUGAAACUAGAUCGCUAGAAUUAUGGAGAGGUAAGUGGAAUUCCGAGUGUAGAGGUGAAAUUCGUAGAUAUUCGGAAGAACACCAGUGGCGAAGGCGACUUACUGGACAUAUAUUGACGCUGAGGUACGAAAGCGUGGGGAGCAAACAGGAUUAGAUACCCUGUAGUCCACGCCGUAAACGAUGAUAACCUAGCUGUUCGGGCUCUCAGAGCUUGAGUGGCGCAGCUAACGCAUUAAGUUAUCCGCCUGGGGAGUACGGUGCAAGNUUAAAACCUUAAAGGAAUUGACGGNNGAGAGNGCGAGACGACACGAGGAGAG
rnacentral:rRNA from 1 species